CAAGCCCGUAGACCGGAAAAUUGUCUAAUUCCGCAAUUCCACCCGCAGUUUAGUCUUCCAAAUGCCCAUUCCACCAAUUCACUAUAGCAGACGGCGGAUUUGACGCCAGCCAAUCAAAACAAAAGCACAAUGUGACAGGCUCCUAGUAUAGAUUAGAUUUGCCGAGUAGACCACCACUACAAAACAUCCUACAAGAAACAUGUAAGAAUCUGAGGAAAGUGCUACAUUGUGAACCAAAUGGGGGUUCGUUGAAACCUAAAGGUGCACAAGUAGGUUGAACGAACAAGGGGAAAACAAAAACCAGUAAACUACAGCAUAACCAAAAAGCAAGUACAGGUGAUAGUGAAAUUGAAAUGAUGAAUCUACCACAGAUAGAACAAUUGGAAAACGUGACUGCCACUAGAGAACAAUGAGAACUGACCACUGGUAAUUUUGAUAAACAAUUAAUUGUCAUUUUAAGUUCUAUUUAGGUGUGUAGUAGAUGAUAUAUUGAACAGAGCUGUCAUGGAAGUCCACGAAGGCUCCCAAACCAAUAAUGGAAUAUCAGCACAACAUAGCAAGAAACCAGUAGAGAACAUCGUUGCUAUUUUACAAGAACCUUGCAAUGAACAAGAGUCAUCCAAGUGUAGAAGAACAGUUACAUGACAACUCAACAGCAGCCAAUGCUACAUGUUAUAUCAAUCAAGAUGUGAUGGAAGUUAAUGAAGCAACCAUUCCUAUUACCGAGGAAUCUACAAAUGCUGAGUUUCAGACAAACUUUGCUACUUUAUCAAUCACUUUAACUUAUGGUGAAAUUACCAGAUGAUGGGCACGGAUGGAUGUGGUCGUUUAAUAACCACAAUCAAACAAUUUUGUGCACCAAUCCGGAUAUGUUACCACAUGGUAACAUGUUAGUGAGGACCGUGCAAGUUCUGAACGGCCCAAUAGUAUUGUACUACUUCAAUGGCAGGAAUAUCUCGCUCAAAGAUCUUGCGGAGACCUUUUCAUCAAUAGAAGAGCUGUCUGCAAUGAUUGUUGCCUUUGGAUUACAAAAGCCUUGUAUUAGUGUAGCUGAUUACGCGCUGCACACUGUCAAGAUGUCGUCAAAAUUGUCAUGCGUGUGGGACAAAGAUGGAGUCUUACGUUCGAUGAAAUGCUCCUUUGUUGCUGAAAAGAUGAAUUUAUGUGCACAAUGUCGAGCGUUGAAGGGUUAUCUCUGGAAAGCAUCAAAAUCCGCGAGCGAGCAAGUUCCGAUUCCACGGCCCAAAUACAGGGGUUGUUUGAGCACCAGAAAGAAAUAGACCCAAAUAAAUGGUAGUAGACGCAGAAUUCGUCUUUUGGAGUCGAGAGCAAAGAGAACCUCAGAAUUAGUGGAGGAACUUCGUCAGAAUUGCAAGCUGUUGGCGCAAAAGGGGGCGAGAGGCAAACUAGACAAUUUAUUGCGGAACCUGUCUCCAACGGUAAUAAUUAGUUGACUUCAAGACUGAAAUUUAAUCAUAGCCUAACAAAACAUGCAAUUUGCUUUUGGGUUAUUCAAUUUCCACUGACAUUUUCAUUAUUUCAUUUCCCUUGAGUUAAUUGACGUACAAUAUUUGAAAAUGAUUCUGACGUAUU